rnacentral:lncRNA from 1 species
CUUAAAGACAACUUCCCAAACGGUGCCACUUCAGGCUGCUUCCACUGGAUCCAUCUCUGUGGGAGCCACUCUCCGUCCAGAACCUUCCUGGGUCCCAAGAUAAAGUGAAUGGAGCAUGCUGGCUGCUACCUAACAGUGGAAUAACUGAGAAGGAUCUUGCCCUUCUUUGUACCUAGCAAGCCUGGGAGGGGAGGUCGUCCAAGCAUGGGCAGCAGGUCUCCCCACGUGAAGCCUUGGGCACCGCUGAUCUGCAGACUCCAGAGCCAUCCCAGACCCACGAAGUCAGCCACUGGUUUGGCCACAGGCAGCGUUUUUCACAGGUUCCCAAGGGGAUUCCUCUGCACAGUAGCCUUUUUCAGUUAAGGGAAGACCCAUACUCUACCUCUUGAUCUGGGAGGGAUCACACAGAAAAUAUACAUCUUACACUUAAGAUGCACCUGACUCAAAAGACAGAAGAGUUCCCCCUACCUGCGUCUGGAGCUGCAGGAAGGAGAAAUCAGGGGAGACUGCCCAGAAGAGGAGCUCUUUGAGCUGGGCCUAGAAGGGGAGGAGGGUAGCAAUCAGGAACCUGAAGGAGCCCUUGGGGGAGAGACUCUUGUACCCACAGCAAUCGGGGAGAUGGAGAGAGGCUCGUUCAGGCUGCGGCCUCAUCCCCACCCAGGAACAGGAUGUCCUCAGAGGCCCACGAUGGCUGUGGCCAGGACAGGUAGUCCCGGGAAGCCCCCAACUUGCCUCCAAGUGCAUCCAAGUCAUUCUGUCCAACAAGACGGCAUUGUUUGGGGUUCCAAUGCAGGGCGAGAAAAACAGAGCCCAAUUGUCCCUGUCAUAAUGGGUAUAUAAUUUAUAAUAAUGUCAGCUAUUAAAGGAUUUUAGUGAUUAACUGACAGU